rnacentral:rRNA from 1 species
CCCUUAGAUGUUCUGGGCCGCACGCGUAUUACAAUGGCGUCGUCAAUUGGCAACAAAACUCCUGUAAAAGGGAGUGGUAUCCCAUUAAUUGACGUCAAACUUGGGAUUGGCUAUUGGAAUUAUUGGCCUUGAACGAGGAAUUCCUUGUAAUUGCAAAUCAUCAGUUUGCGAUGAAUACGUCCCUGCCCUUUGUACACACCGCCCGUCGCUCCUACCGAUUGAAUGGUCCGGUGAAAUCUCGGGACGGCGGCUUGGUCGCUUGCGUCCGACUGCUGAAACUUGAUUAAACCAUAUCAUUUAGAGGAAGGUGAAGUCGUAACA